CCUUGACGGCAGAACGCGCUGGUUACGAGCCGGGAACGAGCUCACAAAGAGCACGCGCAUUUUUUGCGGUCCGGAGCUGUAGGAAUCUGAAGGCUAGACCGUCCCAUUUCACAGCCUCGCACUUCCGGCCUUCUUGGACUUCGAAGGACCCGGCCCACGUAGACCGCGAAGGCCGGGUCCUUCGAUGGAUGCAGCCGACGUUUUGGGACACAGCUACAAAUUACCUCAGACACACAGACUGAUGCGACAAAACCACUUUGAGCACCUGCCCCUUUAAACGUCUCUGCACGGCCCUGAUUCCAGGCUUCUGUACGGGUGUUACAGCUUAAUCUGACCUGGAGAGACAAACAGCAAAGUGGAGCAGACUGACACAGUUACUGCAGACGUAGAUGUAGCCGUCCAUGCCAAAUCUACACCCUUGGAUUAAAUGGUUACUAUCUAAGUUAACUGGCUCCGGAGCAUGUGAUAAAGUGAUAGUAAUGUCUUAGAGGGUAAUAUUUCUAUGUGGACUAUUGGAAACAACUGAGCAUUGUUAUGAGCCUGCUUCUCUGGUAAGUGAGUAACAUGUGAUUCUGUCACCUGAGGUCCAAUAUUGCAUCGUGAAAGUGAUCUUAAAGCACUGCUAAACCCUAUCCCAAUGCAUACCAUCCUGACAUUGUCAAAAAAAAAGAAGCACGUUUGUUUAUUUUUGGUUCUUAUUGUCAUGUUUUGUCAAUGUUGGGACAACAUUUAUUUAGCAGGGGAGGAAUGUAGCACUUGGUAAAGUGUAAAGCUAAAAUAUGUCUAAAACAUUGCAGAAAUCUGUUGGUAUUUGGGCUAUUCAGCAAUAUAUUUGGGGUUUUUUGGCUGCUACAUGUUUCCACCAGUAGAGGGCAGUCAGGGCAAAAAGAAAAGAAAAAUGUUCUGUAAAAAAGGAGAGAAGAGAGUACGCUUGGGUACUGUAUGUAAAAGCCAUGGUUCUGAAGUACCCAAAUAAACUCAGUUUGCUGCUUACAAAGUUGUCCUGAAGUGGUGUAACUCGUGUCACAAAUUAUAGCAGUGAAUCUUAAUAAAACAAGUAAUUAAAGGGCAUACCUGCAUUGGUUAACUCAUUUAAAUUAUCACAACUGACACGUGUGUUUGUAUCAUCCAUGUUAGAUGACUUCCUUCUAAUCUCAAUAGAUAUUUUUUCCUGGUUAAAAAAAAAGGUUUAAUUAAAAAAUUGAAAUGCAGCA
ensembl:lncRNA